rnacentral:rRNA from 1 species
AACGAACGCUGGCGGCAGGCUUAACACAUGCAAGUCGAACGCCCCGCAAGGGGAGUGGCAGACGGGUGAGUAACGCGUGGGAACAUACCCUUUUCUACGGAAUAGCUCUGGGAAACUGGAAUUAAUACCGUAUACGCCCUACGGGGGAGAGAUUUAUCGGGGAAGGAUUGGCCCGCGUUGGAUUAGCUAGUUGGUGGGGUAAAGGCCUACCAAGGCGACGAUCCAUAGCUGGUCUGAGAGGAUGAUCAGCCACAUUGGGACUGAGACACGGCCCAAACUCCUACGGGAGGCAGCAGUGGGGAAUAUUGGACAAUGGGCGCAAGCCUGAUCCAGCCAUGCCGCGUGAGUGAUGAAGGCCUUAGGGUUGUAAAGCUCUUUCACCGAUGAAGAUAAUGACGGUAGUCGGAGAAGAAGCCCCGGCUAACUUCGUGUCAGCAGCCGCGGUAAUAC